rnacentral:rRNA from 1 species
UACGUAGGAGGCAAGCGUUGUCCGGAAUCACUGGGCGUAAAGCGCGUGUAGGCGGCGAGAUAAGUCUGCUGUGAAAGCUCUCGGCUCAACUGGGAGAGGUCGGUGGAAACUGUCUUGCUGGAGGACGGUAGAGGGGGGUGGAAUUCCCGGUGUAGUGGUGAAAUGCGUAGAGAUCGGGAGGAACACCAGCGGCGAAGGCGGCCCCCUGGGCCGGUCCUGACGCUGAGACGCGAAGGCCAGGGUAGCGAACGGG